AUUUAAACCAGAAAUGGCACUGUUCUACAAGAGAUUGUCAUGAUGCUCAGAGCUUUUUGUGGGGCAUAUGCAAGAUUUACAUAAUCAAACUUCAGCAAUCAAGCAUGCAUGUGUGAGCUAGGUCCAGGCUUCUCAUAUACUGAAUUAAAAGAUGUAGGUACCCACUUCUUCACUGUCCUCUGGAAGUUCCCCUUUCACUUAAAACCUGCUGGCUGAGGGACCUCUAGGAACUAGGUAUCACUCCCAUUGUGCAGCCCCUCUGCUGUCUUCAAGCAGGGAUCUGCACAGGCAGUGUCUCAGUAGUGAACAGUUAUGUGGGUUUUUUAAGGGUUAUAUCACUAAAUCUAGGACAGUUGUCCAUAUGUGAAAUCGCAGCUAUGCUUAGGAAUCAGUGUCAUUGUGAGGGGCUGUGGGCAAAGGUGAUCAGCUGGUCAUUUAUGCAGAAGGGAGUCUGGAUUGAAGUGGGUCAGAUCAGGAGCUCAUCUGUAAAUGAAAGCCCUGCCUUCACCAGGCUACACUCCAGUGGAAAAAAAAAAGGCUCAGUGCACUUCUCUGUGAAGUCAACAGCUGUGGCCACAUGCACAGGACAUGCUUUGACAGCAGCAGGACUCAGCUGAGAGACUCUGGAAUAUAUCAUUUCAGUAGCAUUAUCUGGGUCUAUAGCUGGCUCUUCUAUAUUGAAGGUUGAAGGCAUGGUGUGUUGCUCUUUUCAUCCUCUUUCCACUACAUGAGCAUUGCACAGGGAUCUUAAAGUGUGUGUAGGAAAAUGGACCUUGGGGAAGGACUUUACUUCAGGAUUAGAAACACAGUUUUUUUAAAAUUUACAAGUGCUUGGUUGUGUGUAAAUCUGUUUCACUACCCAAACUUCACGUCAAAGUAUUUGAGCUGUGCUGUACAUGAUGAGAGCAAGAGUCCAUGUUUGUCAUUGCAUAAGUGAAACAGGAAUUUGUGUGGGAACAGGGAGAGACCUGAACACAACACACCGUAGAUGAUUUGCUGCUAAUUCAAUGAUAGAAAGUUUUGGGUUUUUUACAAUAUUGAUAUUUCUCCAGAUGAAAUCCUCUGCAACAAAUGCCAUUUUGAACCUAUUUGCUAUUUCACAAGGGUGCUUAGGCUCCUUUGA
rnacentral:lncRNA from 1 species